ACCUGACCCCAUGCCGAACUCAGAAGUGAAACGCCGUAGCGCCGAUGGUAGUGUGGGGUCUCCCCAUGUGAGAGUAGGGACCUGCCAGGC
rnacentral:rRNA from 1 species